GUGGAGGCCGUUACCUGUGAUACACUGGGGACACCCGGGAGGUAGAGUCACGGACCACAGUGGGUGAAUGAGCUGUUGAAGUAAAGUCUGCAGUGAAGAACAGGGACUUCAUCGAGCUGUGUCCCCAGAUCGUCCCCCCAGCCCCAAUUUGGAAGCUGGUGUAGAGGGGCUCCCGGGUGGCUCGGUGGAUUAAGUGUCUGCCUUCAGCUCAAGUCAUGACCUCAGGGUCCUGGGGUCGAGCCCCAUGUUGGGCUCCCUGCUCGUGGAGAAUCUGCUUCUCCCUCUGCCUCUGCCCCUAGCCCCUGCUGGUGCUCCCUACCAUGCACCUUCUGUCAAGUAAGUAAGUAAAAUCUUAUAAAAAGCAGAAAGGAAAGGAAAGGAAAGGAAAGGAAAGGAAAGGAAAGGAAAGGAAAGGAAAGGAAAAAGGAAAGGAAAAAGGAAAGGAAAGGAAAGGAAAGGAAAGGAAAGGAAGAAAAAAGGAAAGAAAGAAAAGAAAGGAAAGGACAAAAAAAGACAGAAAAGAAAAGGAAAAGAAAGGAAGAAAAAAGGAAGGAAUGGAAAGGAAGGGAAGAAAAAAGGAAAGAAAGAAAAGAAAGUAAAGGACAAAAAGGACAGGAAAAGAAAGGAAAAGAAAGGAAGAAAAAAGGAAAGGAAGGAAAGGAAAGGAAGGGGAGGGGAGGGGAGGGGAGGGAGGCAGCGGAGCGUGUCGCAGCUGGGCAGAGACCGGGAGGGUCACGGUGUGCGGCCGCAGUGGUUUGAGCCGAGCGCACGGCCGGGUCGUGCCCAGCGAGCCCCGGGGCAGCAAACAUGAUGCCUGGCAGGUGUCCCCUCCUGACUGUGCCUCCAGCUGGCGGGGCCGUGGCUCUCAGCCGCUGCCUGCGACUGGCCUCACGCGGGUGUCCCUCCCUAGCCCUGCCGUCCCCCGGCCUCCCUGACGCUCCCGCCACCUUCCUGGCCUCCGCCCAGGUCAGCAGGUGCGCGGCCGGCCGGGGCCAGGGUGCUGGGUCGCGGUCCUUGUCGCCGGAUCCCCCGGCCACACAGUUUCACUCAAAUGCAGCCGCGGCCUGGGAGCGUCGUGUUGAUAGAACUGCACCGGCUUCCUCCUCAGACAUGCUGACUAACUCGGGGCCUUGCGGUCUGCGACCACGGGGCAGAACAAGGCAAUCGAUGCACAAAUACAGAUUGAAAAGGUAAGUUCUCUCGUAUAAAAAUAGCUCUGAGAAGCAGUGAAGUUCUGCAAAGGCGGCUUCCUCGUCGUAAUUAAAACAUUUUGAGGUAGCUAGAUAACAAAUCCCGAAUUCCUCAGGACGACCUGGCCGUGCACAUCGGUCCCUGGAUGUGAGAAAAGCAGAAGAAUUGCGGGAUGAAAAGCGUGUGUAAUUUCGGGUUCAAAUGUGAUUUCGAUUUUUCAAUUUUAUGUUGAUUAGGCUCAUUUCGAUCCUGCCUGUGUUGUCGCAGUGUCGUGUCGGCCUAUUGUGUGUUCAAACGAUUACGCACACCUACCUCGGAGCUUAAACAUGAAGGCACUUUAUGCAAGAAGGUAUAAAAUAGGCCUUGAUGAAGGAAGAACAAAAAAAUAUUAAAUUACGGCUCUGGAAUAAGUUGUCUGAAACCCGGCACUUUGCGAUUGGCUCAUGUAUUUUAGAAGCCAGACACACACAGACACCCAUAAAGCUCUUUUAUUCUUUUCUUGUGUAUAUUUAAAAGCCGCAAGGCCGUGCUUCUGUGCCCCUCCAGCACCCUGACUGCGAUAGGCCAGUAAUUUGGGAGCCAGGUCAACACGUGGGCUUGUACUGUAAUGAGAAAUACAGCUCGGUUUCAUGGGAAAAUUAAGCUGAUGUUUUCAGAGAAAGCUAUUUGUAUUUUUCAUAACUAGGAAACGUCAAAUUAAAUCGUUUAAAAAUAGCCAUUUGUGAUCCUGAGUCAAGAAUACAUAUAACAUACAUUACACACACACACAAUUGGAUUGGUUACAGAUGUGUAAUCAAUUGUUUCGUAAAACAUUUGCUGGAAUCUCAUUAUGUCAAGACCCAACGAAGAUGCUAAAGACAAAGAUCCCUCCAUUUAGAAUUCAUCUUCAAAAGGGGCAUUUUCGGGAUCCCUGGGUGGCGCAGCGGUUUGGCGCCUGCCUUUGGCCCAGGGCGCGAUCCUGGAGACCCGGGAUCGAAUCCCACGUCGGGCUCCCGGUGCAUGGAGCCUGCUUCUCCCUCUGCCUGUCUCUGCCUCUCUCUCUCUCUCUGUGUGACUAUCAUAAAUAAAAAAAAAAAAAAAAAAAGGGGCA
rnacentral:lncRNA from 12 species